UAUUGUUUGGAUUUUUUGCCUCUGAAAUCUUCUAAGUCAACAACAGGCCACAUACAGGUUUAAAUAGACCUACUCACUUUCUUAAUGUCUUCAAAUGUAAAGCACGUUGCAGAAUGCAGUAUUGUACGGUGCCUUGUGCUGUCCGAAUCUAGGGAUUGUGAUAGGAAGAGGCCAUCUUUUUGAGAAGUGAUUGAGAUAGUAUAAACCAGGAUUUCAGUAUCUCAUGCAGUGAUUCUCAACCGUGUUGCUCUUUACAUCCUUGGGAAGACAGAGAAACAUCCAUGUCCAGUUCCCAACUCCAGAGCAGAUGCUUUAAAGCUCCCAGGUGAUCCUAAUGUACCACAGGCACUGAGAAUCAGUCCAAGUAUGUUGGCAGUGGUGUGAGGUGCGUCAACAAGGGAAACAGAAAAUAGAGUGGUUGGAUUAAUGGGAUUCUAACAUAUUUUAGCCUAGUGCAGUGGUUCUCAACCAACCAGAGUGAUUUUGCCGCCCCCUGCCCCGGGAACAGUUGGCAAUGUCUGGAGAUGUUGUUUGUCACAGCUUAGGGGCAGGGAGGGAGGUUGAGAGGUUGCUGCUGGUAUCUAGUGGUUAGUGGCCAGAGGUCCUGCUUAGCACCUGCAGUACACAGGCUCCCCUGUUCCCAGCAGAGCAAGAUCCACGCAGUCAGGAGUGCGGAGGCUGGUGGUUCUUAGGUGACAAGAGCCACCUGGGGACCUGCCUCAGCCCUGAAAGAGUAGCCUCCACCCACCAGAUGAUUCCCGUCUUCAGGCCUGGAGCCACUGUGUCAGCUUCUGUUGCACAUUUUGAUCUUAUGUUCUCUUUUGAGUUUGAUUUACUUAGACCAAGAACUGUAGAAUCAUAUUUUUAGUUGUUGGCUUUUUCCCCUCUAUAAAUAUUAUGAGGAUA
rnacentral:lncRNA from 10 species